UACGUACCGGACAAACGUUAUUCGGAAUCACUGGGCUUAAAGAGUGCGUAGGCGGUCUAACAGGUGGGGUGUGAAAGCCCACGGCUCAACCGUGGAAUUGCGCUCCAAACCGUUGGACUUGAGGGAGACAGGGGUGAGCGGAACUGAUGGUGGAGCGGUGAAAUGCGUUGAUAUCAUCAGGAACACCGGUGGCGAAGGCGGCUCACUGGGUCUCUUCUGACGCUGAGGCACGAAAGCUAGGGUAGCGAACGGG
rnacentral:rRNA from 1 species